AUACGGAGGGUGCAAGCGUUACUCGGAAUCACUGGGCGUAAAGCGCGCGCAGGCGGUCUUUUAAGUUGGAUGUGAAAGCCUACGGCUCAACCGUAGAACUGCAUCCAAAACUAUUAGACUAGAGUGUGGGAGAGGAAGAUGGAAUUAGUUGUGUAGGGGUAAAAUCCGUAGAGAUAACUAGGAGUACCAAAAGCGAAGGCAAUCUUCUGGAACACUACUGACGCUGAGGCGCGAAAGCGUGGGGAGCAAACGGGAUUAGAUACCCUAGUAGUCC
rnacentral:rRNA from 1 species